GACGAACGCUGGCGGCGUGCUUAACACAUGCAAGUCGAACGGAAAGGCCCUGCUUUUGUGGGGUGCUCGAGUGGCGAACGGGUGAGUAACACGUGAGUAACCUGCCCUUGACUUUGGGAUAACUUCAGGAAACUGGGGCUAAUACCGGAUAGGAGCUCCUGCUGCAUGGUGGGGGUUGGAAAGUUUCGGCGGUUGGGGAUGGACUCGCGGCUUAUCAGCUUGUUGGUGGGGUAGUGGCUUACCAAGGCUUUGACGGGUAGCCGGCCUGAGAGGGUGACCGGCCACAUUGGGACUGAGAUACGGCCCAGACUCCUACGGGAGGCAGCAGUGGGGAAUAUUGCACAAUGGGCGGAAGCAUGAUGCAGCAACGCCGCGUGCGGGAUGACGGACUUCGGGGUGUAAACCGCUUUCGCCUGUGACGAAGAGUGAGUGACGGUAAUGGGUAAAGAAGCACCGGCUAACUACGUG
rnacentral:rRNA from 1 species